rnacentral:lncRNA from 1 species
ACUAUGAGAUUAGGCUGUAAAGACUGUGUCUUCAGUCUUGGGCACUGUCUCUCACUUUUGCCCCCCUCUUUUAUCUUUCGUGCUGGGAAGUGAGCUGCCAUGCUGUGAACAGCCAGCCCUGUGAAGAGGACCACAGCCAGUAAGGAACCGAAGCCUGGCAACAACCAUGUGAGUGAGCUUGGAAGAGGAUUCCUCCUGCAGUUGUGCCUUCCGGUGAGAUAGCAGCACUGGACCACAAUCUCAUGAGAGAUCUUGAGCCAGAGGCACACAGCUAAGCCACGCCCAGAUUCCUGACCCACAGGAACUGUGAGAUGACAACUGCUGUUUUAAGGACUGACUCUGGAACUGUGUGAGGAACUGUGGGAUUCUACUGACACUUGGACAGGGCCCCGUGAACAGCUCUCAACUGACCAACGAAGAGCUGCUUGGUGUGUGGAUGACAGUUCCAAGGUGAAUCGACAGCAUCCUGUUUGGAAGGAUGCCACUCUUGAUCAAAGAAGUGGUUCUAGGACCAGAGCCAUAACUACCAGUGUUAGAACCAGGGAUGAUUCCUAAACAAGAAAUUGUAACUAUGUUUUUAAACCUUGUGUCAGAAUUCCUAAGGACCUGAUGGGGGUGGGUUGUGCAAAACGGGUUAAUUGUGAAUGCAGCUAUAUUGCCUGGUGGUAAAAACGGUCCACUAAAUUGGCACCUAUGUAACCUUAGUCUCCCUGCAUGGGAGUGGACUGAGGAGGAGGUAAUUACUAGACUAAUAUUGCUGUCUGCCAUCUAGACCAGCACGAUGUUGAUUCUAAUGUUUCUUCCAAAGGUUAUUAAUAAAGUGAGGAAAAAAUUAACAGCUGAGAGUAAAGGAAUAAAUAAAUGUGUUAUGAAUUCAGGGAAAUCCAUUAUCACAUUACAUUAACACCUUGAAAGAGACUCAGAGCAAGAAAGGAUACUGUUUCUUAGCUCAAUUAUAUCAGGUGUCUGAAACGGUGAAACCAAGACCAUUCCUGCUUUUAGAACCUGGCAAGAUCAAUGGAAAGCCUGCAAACCUGAGUGGCCUCAUGCUGGGAGACCUAUUCAUACAUUAUGAUGAUGGACUGAACUAAUUAUCAAUGCCUGAAUGAGAUUCUAGUAAUGUGGCAGUGUCUUUUGAAUUAUAUAUUCUUUUAUAUUUCUUUUUUUUUUGUUUGUUUGAGACAGAGUUUCGCUCUUGUAGCCCAGGCUGGAGUGCUAUGGCGUGAUCUUGGCUCACUGCAACCUCUGCCUCCUGGGUUCAAGCGAUUCUCCUGCCUCAGCCUCCCAAGUAGCUGGGAUUACAGGCACCUGCCACCACACCCAGCUAAUUUUUAUAUUUUUAGUAGAGAUGGGGUUUCACCACAUUGGCCUAUAUUUUUUUAAUGUAAGGAAUCCAGGUUUGAAGACCAGAGGUAUACUGUGAAAUAUAUAUUUGGUCCUCUAGCUCAUUUCCUGGCAUACAACUCCUAAAAUCCUUAGAAACGCCAAAGAUGUCUGAUGGCUGGCAGCCUCUAGGCAGCUUCAGGAUGGGGUCACAAAGACCCAGGCAGGAUUAGAGGGUUGGGACUUUCAGCCCCACCCCUCAAUCUCUGGGUAGGGGAGAGGUACCAAAGGUUAAGUUGAUCACCAAUGGCCGAUGGUUUAAUCAAUCAUGCCUAUAGUAAUAAGGCCUCCAUAAAACCCCAAAAGGACAGGAUUUGGGGAGCUUUUGAAUAGCUGUACACAUGGAGGUUCCUGGAAGGUGUUGUGCCUGGGGAGGGUAUGGAAGCUCUGCUCCCCUCCUCUCCUGUAACUUGUCCUGUGCAUCUCUUUAUCUAUAUUCUUUGUAAUAUCUCUUGUAACAAACCGGUAAACAUAAGUAAAUGUUUCCCUGAAUUCUGUGAGCUGCUGUAGCAAAUUAACCAACCCCAAAGAGGAAGAGGCUGUGGUGUCCCCAAUUUGUAGUUGGUUGGCAGAAGUUUCAGCGGCCUGGACUUAUGACUGGUGUCUGAAGAGGUGAGGGUUGUGGGACUGAGCCCUCAAUCUGUGGGAUCUGAUGCUAUCUCCAGGUAGAUAGUGUUUGAAUUUAGUUGGGAGGACACCCAGCUGCAGUCUGCUGCAGAGUUGAUUGCUUGCUUGUUGGUGGGAAGAAAUCUCCACACUUCUGGUCACAGAAGUCUUCUGUAUUGAUUGUUGCUGUGUGGUGUGAGAGCAGUUUGAGUUUUUUCAGCUUCAACAGAGAAAAAGAGGAGGAGCAAGGAUGGAGGCCUAUGGCAUUCCAGUGUGAAGAGGUGGGAGAGGGGAGAUGAGGAAGAAUCAGUAGGAUCUGAGAAGGAGCAGCCAGGAGGUAGAAGGACAACCAAGAGAGCAGGUGUUCCAGAAGCCCAGAGAAGACAGUGUUUCAGAAGGAUGGAUGUCAAAUGUUGCUGACAGGCCAAGAAGAAGCCCUGGGAUUUGAACACUGGACUUAGCAACAUGAAGGUCAGU